UAAUACCUUAAAUAUUUUAACUUUUAACUUGCAGUCUUGCACUUGUUAUGCCCUUUUCAAUCUUUUUGUUGUCUUAGAUAAUUUGUUCUUAUUUUCUUUUCGAGAAGCUAAAAGCAAAGGCAAUUUUUAAGUCUUUAAGUCUUUCCGACUGCUUUUCAGAUGGUCAUGCCAUUAUUUCUAAAACAAAUAGUCUCUCUCUCAUCCUCAAUGGUUUAUAUAGAUCUGGCGCCGACGACUAGAGAGAAAGUUGAUAGCAGAUGUGGCCUAGUUGAAGUUGCAGAAAUCGUCUAUUUACGAUGAAGAAUCUAGAUAUGAUCUGGUAACAAUUCAAGAAAUUAGUUCAUUCCCUCUAUGUGUGUGUGUGUGUGUGUGUGUGUAUACAUAUGUAUUAGACCCAGUAAUGGGGUUUCUGAGGUUUUACAUCUCCCAAAUACACAAAAGCCAAAUAGUUGGUGCGUGAGACGACAA